UCAGGAUGGGGAAGCUGAUGAGGCCUUCUACAGAAAGCUGAGAGUCGCCUCACAAUCACAGGCCUUGGUUCUCAUGGGGGACUUCAAUCACCCUGAUAUCUGCUGGGAAGGCUACACAGCCAGGGUCUCCUCCAAAUCGCAAGCGACCAACCAAUGAAAGAGCAGGAGAUGAUUAUUAUUACAAGAAAUUCAAGAAGAUGAAAGGACAGGAAAGAAGACGGCCUCCCCUUCCUUUAGAAGGGUCACCUGCAAAUCGCAAAUGCCCGCUCAGUGAAAAAACAACAGAAGAUUAUGACUAUGACAAAUUCAAGAAGAUCUGUAGACGAUACUGAUGAACGUGAAAUGAAGUCUUGGCAAUUGUUCUUAUAUUCCACUAAUAAAGGAGUUGUUUUUGACCUGGAACCGAGUUGGGGAGUCACUGCCUUCACAUGCUGGUGUUGCCUACCAAGCGUUUCUUGUGAUCUUGGAGUGAAUCAGUUUGCAGGUGAUUGCGAACUCUUUGGUCGGGCCUUUGCUGUGCCGAGUAUGAAGGCUGAGAUGCUGUAUCCGUGUGUAUUAUGGCUUCGAUGCGUCACGCCAUUAUUUCAUCACGUUGCUGCGUGACGUUCUCUCCCACUGCAACAUUCCACUGCCAGAGCCUGCGCCGCCGUGCCACUGUCACGUCGUGCCGUCGUGUCCGGACGCAGGCUCACACAGGACUGUGGCACAGCUGCCUGAGCGGAGCCCUCUCCUGUGGCCAUGGGUGG